GGUGGGUUGGCUCAGUGGUUAGAGCAGAGGUCUCGUAACCGAAAGGUCGCGGGAUCGAAUCCCGCUAGAGGCUG
rnacentral:tRNA from 1 species